AUUGAACGCUGGCGGCAUGCUUUACACAUGCAAGUCGAACGGUAACAGGCCGCAAGGUGCUGACGAGUGGCGAACGGGGGAGUAAUGCAUCGGAACGUGCCCAGUCGUGGGGGAUAACUACUCGAAAGAGUAGCUAAUACCGCAUACGAUCUAUGGAUGAAAGCGGGGGACCGUAAGGCCUCGCGCGAUUGGAGCGGCCGAUGUCAGAUUAGGUAGUUGGUGGGGUAAAGGCUCACCAAGCCAACGAUCUGUAGCUGGUCUGAGAGGACGACCAGCCACACUGGAACUGAGACACGGCCCAGACUCCUACGGGAGGCAGCAGUGGGGAAUUUUGGACAAUGGGCGCAAGCCUGAUCCAGCAAUGCCGCGUGCAGGAAGAAGGCCUUCGGGUUGUAAACUGCUUUUGUACGGAACGAAACGGCUCUGGUUAAUACCCGGGGCUAAUGACGGUACCGUAAGAAUAAGCACCGGCUAACUACGUG
rnacentral:rRNA from 1 species